GUUUCCCAGUUCUAUACUGAACUCGCUGCUGGUGCGACUAUUUUUGCUGCUGCUUCUGCUGGAAAUCUCGUUGUUGGAGCUGCUAAAGAAGCCACCGAAGUUGAACUGCUUCUCAGGAACAAAUGAGGCGCAUAAGAAAAGCUCUUGGCCAGGCUAUUGCUCAACCUCUGGAAACCUCUCGACUGCAGCUUUUCGUCGCGAUUGUCAUGGACGUCAAGCCGACCGGGCAAUUGGUGCUCGCAACCGAAACCAUCAAACUUCAGCUCCAGAAGAUCGUAGAGAGUCUUCUCUGGAGUGAGGAGAGCAUCCAUGGACGUCAUAGCAGAAGGGAACGACGCUGGAAAUGGAGCGAGUUCGUUGAAAUCUGUAGCUUUAGACGCAGAUGGUGUGGAUGCGGAGGAAGAACUUGCUGCUGUCUCGAGAACCGUGGUUGGCGAUAAAUCGUCAGCUCCUUCCAGUUCUUCGUCUUGGUGAUCAUGGAUCCCGUCGUCUGGCGAGAAAGGCAAAGUGGAUCUAGCACUGGAUGAUUUGUCGGGAGACGGAGCUUACCUGGAACAGUUAGACUCCUCACAAAGCCAGCAAAAGUUGUGCUGUCUUUGAACGAGAACGGUGGAAAGGCACAAGGCACAGGCAUGGCGGAGAAAGAACGUAAAGCUCCUUGAUUAUCAUCGCCACCAUGGUAGAACUGCUUGCGGACUUUCUUGUGGAGCGGCGAGCUUUGAUCCAGAUUCAACGAGCUGCAGCAGUCCUCAAACUCCGUGUCGGAGAUCUCGACUUGGUGCUCGUGAGAUUUCCUGCAAGGCACUGCAUCUAGAACACUCGACAUGGUGAUGAUAGAAGCGCUUGAGCCAAUCGUCCUCAUCGUCCUGUAGCAUCCAGCACAAAAAAGAACCAUUUUCGGCUUCGUUGGUACUUGACGAACGAGACAUGGGGGAUGAAUGAAGCUUUUUGGUGUUUAGUGUGUUGCGAGCCACGACCAAGACGAAGAUGAAUACACGAUUUUUCGUGCCACUAGAUUAUAGUUCUUUCAAAAAGGAGGACCUUUGUAUACUUUUUACGAGACAAUGAAACUAUCACAAUGAUUU